UACGUAGGGACCAAGCGUUGUUCGGAUUUACUGGGCGUAAAGGGCGCGUAGGCGGCCACCGCAAGUCGGUUGUGAAAUCUCUGGGCUUAACCCAGAAAGGUCAACCGAUACUGCGGGGCUAGAGUGCAGAAGGGGCAACUGGAAUUCUCGGUGUAGCGGUGAAAUGCGUAGAUAUCGAGAGGAACACCUGCGGCGAAGGCGGGUUGCUGGGCUGACACUGACGCUGAUGCGCGAAAGCUAGGGGAGCGAACGGG
rnacentral:rRNA from 1 species